GGAAGAUUGUCCGAGCUGGCCGAAGGAGCACGCCUGGAAAGUGUGUAGGCGCCACAAGCGUCUCGGGGGUUCGGAUCCCCCAUCUUCCG
rnacentral:tRNA from 1 species